UACGGAGGGGGCUAGCGUUGUUCGGAAUUACUGGGCGUAAAGCGCACGUAGGCGGCUUUGCAAGUCAGAGGUGAAAGCCCGGGGCUCAACCCCGGAAUUGCCUUUGAGACUGCAUCGCUAGAAUUGUGGAGAGGUAUGUGGAAUUCCGAGUGUAGAGGUGAAAUUCGUAGAUAUUGGGAAGAACACCGGUGGCGAAGGCGGCUCUCUGGACCGAGACUGACGCUGAGGCGCGAAAGCGUGGGGAGCAAACAGG
rnacentral:rRNA from 1 species